rnacentral:rRNA from 1 species
UACGAAGGGGGCUAGCGUUGCUCGGAAUCACUGGGCGUAAAGCGCACGUAGGCGGAUUGCUAAGUCAGGGGUGAAAUCCUGGAGCUCAACUCCAGAACUGCCCUUGAUACUGGCGGUCUCGAGUCCGGGAGAGGUGAGUGGAACUGCGAGUGUAGAGGUGAAAUUCGUAGAUAUUCGCAAGAACACCAGUGGCGAAGGCGGCUCACUGGCCCGGUACUGACGCUGAGGCGCGAAAGCCAGGGGAGCAAACGGG